GUAAGGAAUAUUGGUCAAUGGGGGCAACCCUGAACCAGCCAUGCCGCGUGAAGGAUGAAGGCGUUAUGCGUUGUAAACUUCUUUUGUAUGGGAAGAAUGACAGGGAUUUAUCCUUGGAGAGACGGUACCAUACGAAUAAGCACCGGCUAACUCCGUGCCAGCAGCCGCGGUAAUACGGUGGGUGCAAGCGUUAUCCGGAAUCACUGGGCGUAAAGCGCGCGUAGGUGGUUUUGUAAGUUGGAGGUGAAAUCCCCGGGCUCAACCUGGGAACUGCCUCCAAAACUGCAUGACUAGAGUACGGUAGAGGGUAGUGGAAUUUCCUGUGUAGCGGUGAAAUGCGUAGAUAUAGGAAGGAACACCAGUGGCGAAGGCGACUACCUGGACUGAUACUGACACUGAGGUGCGAAAGCGUGGGGAGCAAACAGGAUUAGAUACCCGAGUAGUCC
rnacentral:rRNA from 1 species